rnacentral:rRNA from 1 species
UACGGAGGGUGCAAGCGUUAAUCGGAAUUACUGGGCGUAAAGCGCGCGCAGGCGGUCUUCCAAGUCAGUGGUGAAAGCCCGGAGCUCAACUCCGGAACUGCCAUUGAAACUGUUGGACUUGAGUACGAGAGAGGUGAGUGGAAUUCCCAGUGUAGAGGUGAAAUUCGUAGAUAUUGGGAAGAACACCGGUGGCGAAGGCGGCUCACUGGCUCGUAACUGACGCUCAGGCGCGACAGCGUGGGGAUUAAACAGG